rnacentral:rRNA from 1 species
UACGAAGGGUGCAAGCGUUAAUCGGAAUUACUGGGCGUAAAGCGUGCGCAGGCGGUUAUGUAAGACAGAUGUGAAAUCCCCGGGCUCAACCUGGGAACUGCAUUUGUGACUGCAUAGCUAGAGUACGGUAGAGGGGGAUGGAAUUCCGCGUGUAGCAGUGAAAUGCGUAGAUAUGCGGAGGAACACCGAUGGCGAAGGCAAUCCCCUGGACCUGUACUGACGCUCAUGCACGAAAGCGUGGGGAGCAAACAGG